UACGUAUGGGGCAAGCGUUAUCCGGAUUUACUGGGUGUAAAGGGAGCGUAGGCGGCAGGGCAAGCCUGAUGUGAAAGCCCGGGGCUCAACCCCGGGACUGCAUUGGGAACUGCCCUGCUGGAGUGCCGGAGGGGCAGGCGGAAUUCCUAGUGUAGCGGUGAAAUGCGUAGAUAUUAGGAGGAACACCAGUGGCGGAGGCGGCUUGCUGGACGAAAACUGACGUUGAGGCUCGAAGGCGUGGGGAGCAAACAGG
rnacentral:rRNA from 1 species